ACCAUAUCGUCAAUCAUCAGUGGCUAUUCAAAGAAAAUCUCAAAUUAAGCGCUAUGUUUUAUGGACCAUAUAAAAUCUUGAAGAAGAUUGGAUCUGUUGCUUACCAUCUGGAUCUAUCGACCGGAGCUACUAUUCACCCCCUGUUCCACGUUUCGCAGCUGAAAGAAUGGGUGGGACCUACUAUUCUAGUACAAUCACAACCACCAGAUUGCGAUGGGAAAGGCCAUGUCUUGAUUCAACCGAUCACCAUACUACAACGCUGAAUGGAGAAGGUUAACAACAACGUUGGUGUUAAGGUCUUGGUGCAGUUGGCUAACAUGAGCCCAGAUAAAGCAACUUGGGAGGAUUGGGGCUAUAUUCACAGUCAGUUUCCAAAGUUUGUCUCAAACAUGACCUUGAGGACAAGGUCCUUUUUCAUCGAAGGGAUAUUGUAAUGAUUUAGGUGUUAGCAGUUGAAGUGUGAAGAGGCUUCUAAUCUGGGAUUAAUAUUAGGAAAGUGUACACAUGACAUGGCAACAUCAGGAACAAGGAUUCAAGGAUACGUGUUAUAAUCUCUAACGUCAAGAAAAGGAAGACUCAGAUUACAUCUCACACAAAAUAUAUGAUCGGACAGCGGAAAUCAUUAUGAUUAGUUAUUCAUAACUAACUAAUGAUACGGAGGGAAGGCAGUUAUGGAUUUGGAGCUGGAAUCACCAUUGGAGGAGCUUAAUUUCCAAUUAUAGUUUCCAUUUGCAGUGUAAUUCCAUUUCGUGUAUUGACCGGUAUUCCACUGAUUAGUAAUAAAAAUACCAAUUGCUCCGA